GAGCAGUGGAUAAUGCAGUGGUGAUGUGCUUCAGAACCUGACAUUCUGCCAAAGGCCAGGAGCGUGGAAGGAGCAGGGAAUACUUGUCGCAACAGAUCUGCAUCUUCCGAGGCUUUUAUUAUCAACCUUAAGUAAGCAAAAAAAGUUCAUGAGGCAUUCCAGCAGAUGCAACAGAUGGGCUUUCUUGCUUUUGCUUGCACUUCUGGGGUCAAAGCUUAGAACGAUAUGAUGUCAUUGGGAUUACACCAUCGGAUAUUCGGAUAACUUGGGCCUUUGGCUAUAAAUGACCUCUACCUCUUUGAGAUUAUUGGUACCACACUGAGAAGUUGGUGAUAGUUUGGUAAGUAAUGCCAUUGCUUCCGUAAGAUAUUUCCAUGAAGACAACAAUUCCCAGGGCUGUG
rnacentral:lncRNA from 1 species